rnacentral:rRNA from 1 species
UUAGGAAUAUUGGACAAUGGGGGAAACCCUGAUCCAGCCAUGCCGCGUGUGUGAUGAAGGCCUUAGGGUUGUAAAGCACUUUCGUUGGGGAUGAUAAUGACCGUACCCAAAGAAGAAGCACCGGCUAACUUCGUGCCAGCAGCCGCGGUAAUACGAAGGGUGCAAGCGUUGUUCGGAAUCACUGGGCGUAAAGAAUGCGUAGGCGGCUUAACAAGUCAGGAGUGAAAUCCCCGGGCUCAACCUGGGAACUGCUUCUGAAACUGUUUUGCUAGAGUCCCGGAGGGGUUAAUGGAAUUCCGAGUGUAGAGGUGAAAUUCGCAGAUAUUCGGAGGAACACCAGUGGCGAAGGCGAUUAACUGGACGGGAACUGACGCUGAGGCAUGAAAGUGUGGGGAUCAAA